rnacentral:misc_RNA from 1 species
AGGAAUUAAAAGAAACAAGAAGAGCGAACCUUUUUUAUGACAUCUGUCAAGGAAGAAGAAUAAAAUACUUGGAAGACUACAAAGUUGGUAAAUGUAAGGAACUUGAAGACAAUCUAAAUGUGUAUAUAUGUAGUGGAUCCUGAUGACCAUUAUUGAAGCCUGUUAGAUUCUUAGGAUUUUUCAUCACACAAAACUCGAGUAUGUUAUGUUACUUAACCUUGCACUAGAUGGUUU